AUCGAACGCUGGCGGCAGGCUUAACACAUGCAAGUCGAACGAGACCUUCGGGUCUAGUGGCAGACGGGUGAGGAACACGUGGGAACAUCCCUUUCAGUUCGGAAUAACGUUGGGAAACUAGCGCUAAUACCGGAUACGUCCUUCGGGAGAAAGAUUUAUCGCUGAAAGAUUGGCCCGCGUCUGAUUAGCUAGUUGGUGAGGUAAUGGCUCACCAAGGCUACGAUCAGUAGCUGAUCUGAGAGGAUGAUCAGCCACAUUGGGACUGAGACACGGCCCAAACUCCUACGGGAGGCAGCAGUGGGGAAUAUUGGACAAUGGGCGCAAGCCUGAUCCAGCCAUGCCGCGUGAGUGAUGAAGGCCUUCGGGUUGUAAAGCUCUUUUGUCCGGGAAGAUAAUGACUGUACCGGAAGAAUAAGCCCCGGCAAACUUCGUGCCAGCCGCCGCGGUAA
rnacentral:rRNA from 1 species